rnacentral:lncRNA from 1 species
CUGAAGUUAAGUGACUUGCUCAGGGUCACUAGCUAUGUAUCUGAGGUCAAAUUUGAACCCAGGACCUCUUCCUUCCAGGCCUAAUCCUCUAUCCACUGAGCCACCUAACUGCCCCUUCCCUAUUAUAGUGUAAGCUUGGUGAGGGCAGGCACCCUUUUUCUUGAGGGCAAAUUAAGUGAUUUGUCCCAGAUUCCACAAUUAACCAGUGUCAAAAGUUGUCUUUAAAACCAAACCAAGUCUUCCUGGCUCUGAGGCCAGCCCUCUAAUCUAGAAAUCUCCGUGUUGUAGUAUCUGUGUACCUAGUCACAUAUGUCUGGUUCGUCCCCCUGAUUAGGAUCAACCCUGUGGCACCCAGUUCCCAGGCUCCCUGGUUCUUCUGGAAAACUGGGGACCAUCCCAUGCCCCACUCUCUUUGUCUCUCAGUUUCAGGGGACGGAGCUAUGAGAUCCUAGGAAAGUGGAGGGGAAGGCACAAGGGAAAGGAAUGAAGACAAGAGUUCCACACUGGGCUAUGCUGGGCUUCCCUGCCAGAAGGAAAGCUGGGAAAGAACCUAAGAGGAAGUGAGAGAGGAAUUAGAGAGCUGGAGACACCUGGUACCCGUUGAAAGUCCAAAGACCAUAAGGUGUGUCUCAUUUGCAUCUUUCAUCGGCAAGCCUCCAGCCUGUCCUCAUACUCAGCUCUUCCUUCAGCUCUGCAUAGCAUCCAAAGACCUGAAGACUCUAAGGCUCCAGGUCCAGCAGCAGUUCCAAGAACAUGUCCGCAUACGACAACAAAGCCUUCAAGGAUAUUGGAAAGGUAAUUAUUCCCCGAAAUCACUGAAUCUCAGAGUAGAACAAGACCACAAAGGUCAUCUCUUCCAAUAUGUAGGUGUCUGUAAAGGUCUUUGUCUUCUCUCAGAGUCUCCAGGAAGUCUCUAGAUUCAAAUUAGUCAACAAGUAUUUAGUAAAUACCAAGCACAGUUCUGGGCUAGGAAUGCAAGAGAAGUCCCUGCCUCGAAGGAGCUUAUAAUUUAACUGGGAAAUGAUUUGAACAAACUGAACAAGGGACCGAAGAACAAUCAAGCUCUAAGAAACUGUGAGUCAGUGCAGUGGGACUCAGGGAGGGAGAGGGAGGGAGGGAGGGAGAGAGAGAGAGAGAGAGAGAGAGAGAGAGAGAGAGAGAGAGAGAGAGAGAGAGAGAGAGAGAGAGAGAGAGAGAGAGAGAGAGAGAGAGAGAGAUCAGUGGGAACUAAAGCAGUAACAGAAGAGAUUUUAUGGAGGAGACAGGAUUUAGACUGUGCCUUAACAAAUGUAUAGGCUUUAAGUCAGUGUAAGAAAGGAGAAGGAGUAGGAGGAACAGUAUGAACAAAGGUGCAGAGGUGGGAAAACAUACUGAAG